rnacentral:rRNA from 1 species
GACGAACGCUGGCGGCGUGCCUAAUACAUGCAAGUAGAACGCUGAAGGAGGAGCUUGCUCUUCUGGAUGAGUUGCGAACGGGUGAGUAACGCGUAGGUAACCUGCCUGGUAGCGGGGGAUAACUAUUGGAAACGAUAGCUAAUACCGCAUAAGAGUAGAUGUUGCAUGACAUUUACUUAAAAGGUGCAAUUGCAUCACUACCAGGUGGACCUGCGUUGUAUUAGCUAGUUGGUGGGGUAACGGCUUACCAAGGCGACGAUACAUAGCCGACCUGAGAGGGUGAUCGGCCACACUGGGACUGAGACACGGCCCAGACUCCUACGGGAGGCAGCAGUAGGGAAUCUUCGGCAAUGGACGGAAGUCUGACCGAGCAACGCCGCGUGAGUGAAGAAGGUUUUCGGAUCGUAAAGCUCUGUUGUAAGAGAAGAACGAGUGUGAGAGUGGAAAGUUCACACUGUGACGGUAUCUUACCAGAAAGGGACGGCUAACUACGUG